rnacentral:rRNA from 1 species
UGCAUAUCAAUAAGCGGAGGAAAAGAAACUAACUAGGAUUCCCUUAGUAACGGCGAGUGAACCGGGAUGAGCUCAAAUUUAAAAUCUGGCGUCUUUCAGGCGUCCGAGUUGUAAUCUAUAGAGGCGUUUUCCGCGCCGGACCGCGUCCAAGUCUCUUGGAAUAGAGUAUCAAAGAGGGUGACAAUCCCGUACUUGACGCGACAACCGGUGCUCUGUGAUACGUUCUCAAUGAGUCGAGUUGUUUGGGAAUGCAGCUCUAAAUGGGUGGUAAAUUCCAUCUAAGGCUAAAUAUUGGCGAGAGACCGAUAGCGAACAAGUACCGUGAGGGAAAGAUGAAAAGCACUUUGGAAAGAGAGUUAAACAGCACGUGAAAUUGUUAAAAGGGAAACGAUUGAAGUCAGUCGUGUGAAAGGUAUUCAGCCGUCUCUGGCGGUGUAUUUGCCUUUCACGGGUCAACAUCAGUUUGAUCCGGUAGAAAAAGGCGGGAGGAAGGUGGCACCCUCGGGUGUGUUAUAGCCUCCUGUCAUAUGUGCCGGACCAGACUGAGGAACGCAGCUUGCCGCAAGGCCGGGGUUCGCCCACGUACAAGCUUAGGAUGUUGACAUAAUGGCUUUAAACGACCCGUCUUGAAACACGGACCA